rnacentral:rRNA from 1 species
AUUGAACGCUGGCGGCAUGCUUUACACAUGCAAGUCGAACGGUAACAGGCCUUCGGGUGCUGACGAGUGGCGAACGGGUGAGUAAUGCAUCGGAACGUACCCAGAGGUGGGGGAUAACGCAGCGAAAGCUGUGCUAAUACCGCAUGUGAUCUGAGGAUGAAAGCGGGGGACCGAGCAGCAAUGUUUGGCCUCGCGCCUUUGGAGCGGCCGAUGUCGGUUUAGCUAGUUGGUGGGGUAAAGGCCUACCAAGGCGACGAUCCGUAGCUGGUCUGAGAGGAGGACCAGCCACACUGGGAUGGAGACACGACCCGGACUCCAACGGUAGGCAGCAGUGGGGAAUUUUGGACAAUGGGCGCAAGCCUGAUCCAGCAAUGCCGCGUGCGGGAAGAAGGCCUUCGGGUUGUAAACCGCUUUUGGCAGGAACGAAACGGUGUCCGCUAAUACCGGGCGCUAAUGACGGUACCUGCAGAAUAAGCACCGGCUAACUACGUG